rnacentral:misc_RNA from 1 species
GAUGAAGAACGCAGCGAAAUGCGAUAAGUAAUGUGAAUUGCAGAAUUCAGUGAAUCAUCGAAUCUUUGAACGCACAUUGCGCCCGCCAGUAUUCUGGCGGGCAUGCCUGUCCGAGCGUCAUUUCAACCCUCGAACCCCUCCGGGGGGUCGGCGUUGGGGACCUCGGGAGCCCCUAAGACGGGAUCCCGGCCCCGAAAUACAGUGGCGGUCUCGCCGCAGCCUCUCCUGCGCAGUAGUUUGCACAUCUCGCACCGGGAGCGCGGCGCGUCCACGUCCGUAAAACACCCAACUUCUGAAAUGUUGACCUCGGAUCAGGUAGGAAUACCCGCUGAACUUAAGCAUAUCAAUAAGCGGAGGA